rnacentral:rRNA from 1 species
AUGAACGCUAGCGGCAGGCUUAACACAUGCAAGUCGAGGGGCAGCACGGGUAGCAAUAUCUGGUGGCGACCGGCGCAAGGGUGCGUAACGCGUGAGCAACAUGCCCGUAUCAGGGGGAUAAUCCAGGGAAACUUGGUCUAAUACCCCAUAGCAAUUAAAGGAGGCAUCUUUUUAAUUUAAAGCUUUGGUGGAUACGGAUUGGCUCGCGUGACAUUAGCUAGAUGGUAAGGUAACGGCUUACCAUGGCUACGAUGUCUAGGGGUUCUGAGAGGAAGAUCCCCCACACUGGAACUGAGACACGGUCCAGACUCCUACGGGAGGCAGCAGUGAGGAAUAUUGGACAAUGGAUGGAAAUCUGAUCCAGCCAUGCCGCGUGCAGGAAGACGGCCCUAUGGGUUGUAAACUGCUUUUGUAUGGGAGCAAUAAGGUCUAUGCGUAGACUGAUGAGAGUACCAUACGAAUAAGCAUCGGCUAACUCCGUG